rnacentral:rRNA from 1 species
UCAAGUCUUUAAGAGCAAACGGUGGAUGCCUUGGCAUCUGGAGCCGAAGAAGGACGUAGCAAUCUGCGAUAAGCCUCGGGGAACUGAUAAGCAAGUUUUGAUCCGAGGGUGUCCGAAUGGGGAAACCCCGCCAGGGCGCGUGCGUACCUGGUGACUCCCGCCUGAAUAUAUAGGGCGGGUAGAGGGAACGUGGGGAAGUGAAACAUCUCAGUACCCACAGGAAGAGAAAGCAACCGCGAUUCCGUUAGUAGUGGCGAGCGAAACCGGAUCAGGCUAAACCUAGCGUGUGUGAUAGCCGGCAGGCGUUGCACGUUGGGGGUUGUGGGACUUUUCUGAUCAUUCUGCCGAGUGGUCGACGUUACAAGAAGGUAUAGACGAACCGCAUUGAAAGGCGGGUCAUAGAGGGUGCCAACCCCGUAGUCGAAAUGCCUCUCUUGGCGUGAAGAGUAUCCCAAGUAGCACGGGGCCCGAGAAAUCCCGUGUGAAUCUGUCAGGACCACCUGAUAAGCCUAAAUACUCCCAGAUGACCGAUAGCGGACAAGUACCGUGAGGGAAAGGUGAAAAGUACCCCGGGAGGGGAGUGAAAUAGUACCUGAAACCGUUUGCUUACAAACCGUUGGAGCCUCCUUAGUAGGGGUGACAGCGUGCCUUUUGAAGAAUGAGCCUGCGAGUUAGCGAUACGUGGCGAGGUUAACCCGUGUGGGGUAGCCGUAGCGAAAGCGAGUCUGAAUAGGGCGAUUUUAGUCGCGUGUCCUAGACCCGAAGCGAAGUGAUCUAUCCAUGGCCAGGUUGAAGCGACGGUAAGACGUCGUGGAGGACCGAACCCACUUAGGUUGAAAACUGAGGGGAUGAGCUGUGGAUAGGGGUGAAAGGCCAAUCAAACUUCGUGAUAGCUGGUUCUCUCCGAAAUGCAUUUAGGUGCAGCGUUGCGUGUUUCUUGCCGGAGGUAGAGCUACUGGAUGGCCGAUGGGCCCUACAAGGUUACUGACGUCAGCCAAACUCCGAAUGCCGGUAAGUGAGAGCGCAGCAGUGAGACUGUGGGGGAUAAGCUUCAUAGUCGAGAGGGAAACAACCCAGACCACCAACUAAGGUCCCUAAGCGCGUGCUAAGUGGGAAAGGAUGUGGAGUUGCUUUGACAACCAGGAGGUUGGCUUAGAAGCAGCCACCCUUGAAAGAGUGCGUAAUAGCUCACUGGUCAAGUGAUUCCGCGCCGACAAUGUAACGGGGCUCAAGCACGCCACCGAAGUUGUGGCAUUGACAUUAGUGGUAGGCCUUCGUGGUCCAGCCGUGUUGAUGGGUAGGAGAGCGUCGUGUGGCCAGCGAAGCGGCGGUGUGAACCAGCCGUGGAGGCUACACGAGUGAGAAUGCAGGCAUGAGUAGCGAAAGACGUGUGAGAAACACGUCCUCCGAAAGACCAAGGGUUCCAGGGUCAAGCUAAUCUUCCCUGGGUAAGUCGGGACCUAAGGCGAGGCCGACAGGCGUAGUCGAUGGACAACGGGUUGAUAUUCCCGUACCGGCGAAGAACCGCCCAAACUAAUCCAGUAGUGCUAAGAGUCCUAACCCGGUUCGAGUGGAUCCCUUCGGGGUGAUGCCGGCCGGUCUAACGCUCGACCCCGUUCUGGUGCGGUUAGCGUAUUAACAGGUGUGACGCAGGAAGGUAGCCCAAGCCAGGCGAUGGUAGUCCUGGUGCAAGUGCGUAGGCCGAACGGUAGGCAAAUCCGCCGUUCAUUAAGGCUGAGACACGAUGCGGAUAAAAAGUGGGUGAUCCUAUGCUGCCAAGAAAAGCAUCGACGCGAGGUUCUAGCUGCCCGUACCCCAAACCGACUCAGGUGGUCAGGUAGAGAAUACCAAGGAGAUCGAGAGAAUCGUGGUUAAGGAACUCGGCAAAAUGCCCCCGUAACUUCGGGAGAAGGGGGGCCAUCCACUUAUACCAGCUUGCCUGGAAAAGGGUGUGGUGGCCGCAGAGACUAGUGGGUAGCGACUGUUUACUAAAAACACAGGUCCGUGCCAAGUCGCAAGACGAUGUAUACGGACUGACGCCUGCCCGGUGCUGGAAGGUUAAGAGGAGGGGUUAGCGUAAGCGAAGCUCUGAAUUUAAGCCCCAGUAAACGGCGGUGGUAACUAUAACCAUCCUAAGGUAGCGAAAUUCCUUGUCGGGUAAGUUCCGACCUGCACGAAUGGCGUAACGACUUCCCAACUGUCUCAACCGCGAACUCGGCGAAAUUGCAUUACGAGUAAAGAUGCUCGUUACGCGCAGCAGGACGGAAAGACCCCGUGACCUUUACUACAGCUUGGUAUUGGUGUUCGGUGUGGCUUGUGUAGGAUAGGUGGGAGACUGUGAAGCGAUCACGCUAGUGGUUGUGGAGUCGUUGUUGAAAUACCACUCUGGUCACUCUGGAUAUCUAACUUCGAACCGUAAUCCGGUUCAGGGACAGUGCCUGGUGGGUAGUUUAACUGGGGCGGUUGCCUCCCAAAAAGUAACGGAGGCGCCCAAAGGUUCCCUCAACCUGGUUGGCAAUCAGGUGGCGAGUGUAAGUGCACAAGGGAGCUUGACUGUGAGACUGACAGGUCGAGCAGGGACGAAAGUCGGGACUAGUGAUCCGGCAGUGGCUUGUGGAAGCGCUGUCGCUCAACGGAUAAAAGGUACCUCGGGGAUAACAGGCUGAUCUUGCCCAAGAGUCCAUAUCGACGGCAUGGUUUGGCACCUCGAUGUCGGCUCGUCGCAUCCUGGGGCUGGAGUAGGUCCCAAGGGUUGGGCUGUUCGCCCAUUAAAGCGGUACGCGAGCUGGGUUUAGAACGUCGUGAGACAGUUCGGUCCCUAUCCGCUGCGCGCGUAGGAAGUUUGAGAGGAUCUGACCCUAGUACGAGAGGACCGGGUUGGACGAACCUCUGGUGUGUCAGUUGUUCCGCCAGGAGCACCGCUGAUUAGCUACGUUCGGGAUGGAUAACCGCUGAAAGCAUCUAAGCGGGAAGCCGGCCUCAAGAUGAGACUUCCAUACCUUCGGGUGAGAGGCUCCCAGCCAGACUACUGGGUUGAUAGGCCAGAUGUGGAAGCGCAGUAAUGCGUGCAGCUGACUGGUACUAAUAAGCCGAUGACUUGAUAAC